rnacentral:rRNA from 1 species
GACGAACGCUGGCGGCGUGCUUAACACAUGCAAGUCGUACGGUAAGGCCCUUUCGGGGGUACACGAGUGGCGAACGGGUGCGUAACACGUGAGUAACCUGCCCACAACUUUGGGAUAACGCUAGGAAACUGGUGCUAAUACUGGAUAUGUGCUCCUGCUGCAUGGUGGGGGUUGGAAAGCUCCGGCGGUUGUGGAUGGACUCGCGGCCUAUCAGCUUGUUGGUGGGGUAGUGGCCUACCAAGGCGGCGACGGGUAGCCGGCCUGAGAGGGUGACCGGCCACAUUGGGACUGAGAUACGGCCCAGACUCCUACGGGAGGCAGCAGUGGGGAAUAUUGCACAAUGGGCGCAAGCCUGAUGCAGCAACGCCGCGUGCGGGAUGACGGCCUUCGGGUUGUAAACCGCUUUCAGCAGGGACGACGCUUUUUGUGACGGUACCUGCAGAAGAAGCACCGGCUAACUACGUG